rfam:Triticum aestivum genome assembly, contig: Triticum_aestivum_CS42_TGACv1_scaffold_560526_7AL
CAUAUACUCCCUCUGUUCUAAAUUACUCGUCGCAAAAAUAGAUUUAUCUAGAUCAUUUUUGCGACGAGUAAUUUAGAACGGAGGGAGUACAUA